AACGCACAUUGCGCCCUCUAGUAUUCCGGAGGGCAUGCCUGUUUGAGUGUCAUUAAUCUCUCACAAGACCUUCUGGUCUUGUCGAUGUUGGGAGCUGCGACCCCCCAGGGGGACGCUCUCCCCAAAUGUAUUGGUGCGGCCCGCCGCCCGGUUACACAACGUUCUAGGUUCGUCCAACUCGUUGCUCUCCGGUGCAAUCAUGGUGCAGCACCUUAAGCCCGCCUUGUGCCUCGAGCUCUUGGCUACUUCAUUUAUUGACCUCAGAUCAGGUAGGAAUACGCGCUGAACUUAA
rnacentral:misc_RNA from 1 species